rnacentral:rRNA from 1 species
GGACUGCGGAGGGAUCAUUACACAAAUAUGAAGGCGGGCUGGAACCUCUCGGGGUUACAGCCUUGCUGAAUUAUUCACCCUUGUCUUUUGCGUACUUCUUGUUUCCUUGGUGGGUUCGCCCACCACUAGGACAAACAUAAACCUUUUGUAAUUGCAAUCAGCGUCAGUAACAAAUUAAUAAUUACAACUUUCAACAACGGAUCUCUUGGUUCUGGCAUCGAUGAAGAACGCAGCGAAAUGCGAUAAGUAGUGUGAAUUGCAGAAUUCAGUGAAUCAUCGAAUCUUUGAACGCACAUUGCGCCCUUUGGUAUUCCAAAGGGCAUGCCUGUUCGAGCGUCAUUUGUACCCUCAAGCUUUGCUUGGUGUUGGGCGUCUUGUCUCUAGCUUUGCUGGAGACUCGCCUUAAAGUAAUUGGCAGCCGGCCUACUGGUUUCGGAGCGCAGCACAAGUCGCACUCUCUAUCAGCAAAGGUCUAGCAUCCAUUAAGCCUUUUUUUCAACUUUUGACCUCGGAUCAGGUAGGGAUACCCGCUGAACUUAAGCAUAUCAAA